ACGGGGCGGGCGCGCAGGAGCAGGGAGCGAGGCGCCGAGGGGUGCGCUGGGCCCAGGGGUGUCUGUGGUAACGCCCCUUCCCCCCCCCCAGUGCUGCGGUUGUCUGUGGGGGGCCCUGGGCGAACGGUUCACCCCGCGCGCUGUGUCUGCGCACGUUUCAUACACGCGCAGCGUCUGGAACAAACCUGAGGAAGGCGGCGCCCGGGAGAGCUGGCAGACAGGCGAAAAGGCACAGCUGGGAACGGUCCUGCGGCAAAGGAAAGGCAGAGGUAGCGGCAGGCCAGUGAUGCGCUGAACGCCAAACAAGGAACCCUACCAAAACUGGGGAUUUGGACAAGUUGCUAAAGAGAACAAAAGCGGUGUCCAGGUACUCAGGGAAAACAGCAGAAAGGCUAAGACUCAAUAAAAAAAAUGCAGUUCUCUCUAUUCAUUACUGGACCUAACAGAAUCUAAACAGAAAUAAGGAACAUGGGAUACGAAAGAGGUAGGGAUCGACGAGGGCACUAGGAUAUACCGAGAUGGAACACAGCUUUUCUUCUUGAAAUCCCUUCAUAGGUACAUUGAACCAACCCAAGUUAGAAAAUAGCAUACCAAAAUAGAUCAGCUUCCACCAUCUGCUCCUGUAUUCUGCCUCUGCUACGAUCUGUACCUUUGAAAUUCUCUUCUCAAGGAGGAUUCAGCUACUAUUCUUAUCUGAAGCAUUUGUGCCUUAAGGAAGGGCUCAUAUUAUUCCCUCAUUUUUAGGCGUAUUCAAGGUUUGUAAAUAAAUGUAAAAGGGAAAACAUCCAAAAUAAGCAUCUGAAUGCAUAAACUCCUUUAUUGAAAAUAUUGUGAUAGCACUGCAUUACAUAUAUUCAAGAUUCAUAGUUUAAAGUGUAAAGGGUCACAGAAGUUUGAAUGAACAACACUGCUGAAUAUAGAACACAGCGUUUAGAUAUGCUCUGACAAAUACAGAGUAAUGGAAUAAACUGUAGUUAAGUAAGAGAGAUAGGUAUGUAAAAUGACAAUUUUUUUGCUUGUUACCAGUAAGUGGUAUGCAACUGGCCAAAAUGGCAGACAUUAUUAGACAUUCCUAGAAUCUCUCAAAGCACUAUGCUAUUAGCAGUUUCUGAAAUAUCUUACAGCUAAAUCCAUCAGAACUUUUUUUUUUUUAUGGAUAGGCCAAGUGGAAGAAAACUGUGUUAUUAGCGUAUGUGCACUGUGUUACAGACUUCUUAUUUUCACGGCAUCAGUUUUUAACUGCAUGGAACCUCUGUGUGGACUUAAGACUGAUUGAUGCUUUUGGGAAAAAAACC